CAAACUGGGAUUAGAUACCCCACUAUGCUUAGCCCUAAACUAGAUAGUUACCCAAACAAAACUAUCCGCCAGAGAACUACUAGCAACAGCUUAAAACUCAAAGGACUUGGCGGUGCUUUAUAUCCCUCUAGAGGAGCCUGUUCCAUAAUCGAUAAACCCCGAUAAACCUCACCAUCUCUUGCUAAUUCAGCCUAUAUACCGCCAUCUUCAGCAAACCCUAAAAAGGAAGAAAAGUAAGCACAAGUAUCUUAACAUAAAAAAGUUAGGUCAAGGUGUAGCCCAUGAGAUGGGAAACUAAGGGGCUACUUUUUCUAUAACUAAAACAUCCACUAAAAUCCU
rnacentral:rRNA from 1 species